AUCGCUUCUCGGCCUUUUGGCUAAGAUCAAGUGUGGAUCAAAAUCAUGUACAUCUUGAUCUAUUUUUAGGGCACUAUCUUUAUACGAUUUAUUCCAAAAUUUAUUUUCUGGGAGAUUUUAUGAUAUUCCUUGAAAUGCACCUGAC
rnacentral:snRNA from 1 species